rnacentral:rRNA from 1 species
UACGUAGGGGGCAAGCGUUGUCCGGAUUUAUUGGGCGUAAAGAGCGUGUAGGCGGCCAUACAGGUCCGUUGUGAAAACUGGAGGCUUAACCUCCAGACGUCGAUGGAAACCGUAUGGCUAGAGUCCGGAAGAGGAGAUUGGAAUUCCUGGUGUAGCGGUGGAAUGCGCAGAUAUCAGGAGGAACACCGAUGGCGAAGGCAGAUCUCUGGGCCGUAACUGACGCUGAGGAGCGAAAGCGUGGGGAGCGAACAGG